CAUUUGUGCUUGCACAAGAUGACGACCGGCGCACGGGUGCGCACCGCGUAUGGAACCUGCCUUGUACAGGGGAAUAGCCCAGGGAAACUUGGAUUAAUGCCCCGUAGUACCGUGACCCGGCAUCGGGAUACGGUUAAAGCCUUCGGGCGGUAUAAGAUGGCCAUGCGUCCCAUUAGCUUGUUGGUAAGGUAACGGCUUACCAAGGCUACGAUGGGUAGGGGCCCUGAGAGGGGGAUCCCCCACACUGGUACUGAGACACGGACCAGACUCCUACGGGAGGCAGCAGUGAGGAAUAUUGGACAAUGGAGGAGACUCUGAUCCAGCCAUGCCGCGUGCAGGAAGAAUGCCCUAUGGGUAGUAAACUGCUUUUAUACGGGAAGAAAAAAAGCUACGUGUAGCUUACUGACGGUACCGUAAGAAUAAGGACCGGCUAACUCCGUGCCAGCAGCCGCGGUAAUACGGAGGGUCCGAGCGUUAUCCGGAAUUAUUGGGUUUAAAGGGUCCGUAGGCGGGCCGAUAAGUCAGGGGUGAAAGUUUGCAGCUCAACUGUAAAAUUGCCUUUGAUACUGUUGGUCUUGAGUUAUAGUGAAGUUGCCGGAAUAUGUAGUGUAGCGGUGAAAUGCAUAGAUAUUACAUAGAACACCGAUUGCGAAGGCAGGUGACUAACUAUAUACUGACGCUGAUGGACGAAAGCGUGGGGAGCGAACAGGAUUAGAUACCCUGGUAGUCCACGCCGUAAACGAUGGAUACUAGCUGUCCGAGGCCUUGAGUCUUGGGCGGCCAAGCGAAAGUGAUAAGUAUCCCACCUGGGGAGUACGUUCGCAAGAAUGAAACUCAAG
rnacentral:rRNA from 1 species